CACGAACCGUACAAACGUUAUUCGGAAUUACUGGGCUUAAAGGGUUUGUAGGCGGCCUUGUAAGUCAGGUGUGAAAGCCCUCGGCUCAACCGAGGAACAGCGCUUGAUACUGCAAGGCUUGAGGGAGACAGGGGUAAGCGGAACUGAUGGUGGAGCGGUGAAAUGCGUUGAUAUCAUCAGGAACACCGGUGGCGAAAGCGGCUUACUGGGUCUCUUCUGACGCUGAGGAACGAAAGCUAGGGUAGCGAACGGGG
rnacentral:rRNA from 1 species